AUGCGAUACUUGGUGUGAAUUGCAGAAUUCAGUGAAUCAUCGAAUCUUUGAACGCACCUUGCGCUCCUUGGUAUUCCGGGGAGCAUGCCUGUUUGAGUGUCAUGAAAUUCUCAACCUUUGUUACUUUUUUUGUUUCAAAGAGUCUGGAAGUGGAGGUUGCUGGCUUUUGUUGAAAGAGUCGGCUCCUCUGAAAUACAUUAGUGGGACCCAUCGUUGAUUAUCUCCCUGGUGUGAUAGUUAUCUACGCCGUGGCUCAUCACGAUAUUGUGUGGUUCUAUUUGCUACUUGGUGUAAAGCGGCGAUGUCAGCAACAGCUGUCUCUAUAACGCAUUACUUGUAUGACCUCAGAAUCAGGUAGGACUACCCGCUGAACUUAAGCAUAUCAAUAAGCGGAGGAA
rnacentral:rRNA from 1 species